rnacentral:rRNA from 1 species
UACAGAGGUCCCGAGCGUUGUUCGGAUUCAUUGGGCGUAAAGGGUGCGUAGGCGGUCUUCUAAGUUUGAUGUGAAAUCCCGGGGCUCAACCCUGGAAUUGCAUUGAAUACUGGAGGACUAGAGUACCGGAGAGGAAACUGGAAUUUACGGUGUAGCAGUGAAAUGCGUAGAGAUCGUAAGGAAGACCAGUGGCGAAGGCGAGUUUAUGGACGGUAACUGACGCUGAGGCACGAAGGCCAGGGGAGCAAACGGG